AUGAGGCAAGGCGCACAGUCGGCUCACCGCAAGUACACCUACGCCGCCGCCUCCCCAGGGGGCUGCAAGGUGAAGUGGACGGCCGAGGAGAAGCCGCACGGCGGGGCUGGGCUCUCAAGUGGGAGGCGGAGCUCGCCUCCCCCCAACGACGUUAGCUUUGAUCACAAGUGGAAGUGGGAGCCCAAGUCCAAGCCUGGUGCCGCCAACAAGGCCAAGACCAAGCUCGAGAAAGCCAGCGAGGAUGACAAGAAUAAGCCGGCGAUGAAGUGCAUGCACAUCGAGGAGGUCCUCGCCGGCUGCGACGCCGUCCGCAAGGAUGAUGACUAUCUAAUAGUGAUUCCCUAUUCCCACAUUUUCUGUCCUCAUGUUGCAAGCUCUAAAGCUGCCCCUGCAAUUUACCAUCACAAGACAUGUCUGGGCAGCAAGUCUCCUGUGACGGUUACUUUUAAUUCGUCGUUACAAUUGUUUGAUGGUCUGCUUGUUCCAACCUCGAUAUCAUGGUUUGCUUGUUCCAACCUCGAUAUCUGCCUUUAG
rnacentral:rRNA from 1 species